rnacentral:rRNA from 1 species
UACAGAGGUGGCAAGCGUUGUUCGGAAUUACUGGGCGUAAAGGGCUCGUAGGCGGCCAACUAAGUCAUACGUGAAAUCCCUCGGCUUAACCGGGGAACUGCGUCUGAUACUGGAUGGCUUGAGUUCGGGAGAGGGAUGCGGAAUUCCAGGUGUAGCGGUGAAAUGUGUAGAGAUCGGGAGGAACACCGGUGGCGAAGGCGGCCUUCUGGACGGUGACUGACGCUGAGACGCGAAAGCGUGGGGAGCAAACAGG